UACGUAGGGUGCGAGCGUUAAUCGGAAUUACUGGGCGUAAAGCGUGCGCAGGCGGUUCGUUGUGUCGGUGGUGAAAUCCCCGGGCUUAACCUGGGAAUGGCCAUGGAAACUGGCGAACUGGAGCGCGGCAGAGGGGGGUGGAAUUCCGCGUGUAGCAGUGAAAUGCGUAGAGAUGCGGAGGAACACCGAUGGCGAAGGCAGCCCCCUGGGCUAGCACUGACGCUCAGGCACGAAAGCGUGGGGAGCAAACAGG
rnacentral:rRNA from 1 species